AACGAACGCUGGCGGCAUGCCUAACACAUGCCAGUCGAACGAGACCUUCGGGUCUAGUGGCGCACGGGUGCGUAACGCGUGGGAACCUGCCCUUAGGUUCGGAAUAACUCCCCGAAAGGGGUGCUAAUACCGGAUAAUGUCUUCGGACCAAAGAUUUAUCGCCUUUGGAUGGGCCCGCGUUGGAUUAGCUAGUUGGUAGGGUAAAAGCCUACCAAGGCGACGAUCCAUAGCUGGUCUGAGAGGAUGAUCAGCCACACUGGGACUGAGACACGGCCCAGACUCCUACGGGAGGCAGCAGUGGGGAAUAUUGGACAAUGGGCGAAAGCCUGAUCCAGCAAUGCCGCGUGAGUGAUGAAGGCCUUAGGGUUGUAAAGCUCUUUUACCCGGGAUGAUAAUGACAGUACUGGGAGAAUAAGCUCCGGCUAACUCCGUG
rnacentral:rRNA from 1 species